UAAAAGUUGAGUAGGAAUUAAACCACAUGCCUAACAAAAUUAAGUGAGAAGAUCACCUGCCCUGUUUGGGCACUGAAUGCUUAUCCUUCCCAAUAAAAAUAUUUCGGAAAACUUUUGAAAGAAUUUAUUACCUUAAUUGGUUACAUCCAUGUUUGCUGUCAGUCUUCUUCUGCUUUGCUACGUUAUGACUUUUUUUGUCACUCGAAAAAACAUUAACAGCGCUGUACAUUAUGUCAAUACACACACACACACACACACAAACACACACACACACACACACAAACAGUUUUCUUACCAUGCACAGAGUAUGCAGCUGCUUAGCUCGCACCUCUCGUGACAUUUUAUAUGAAAUUGACACAAGAAUUGCACACACAUAUAUUACGGAUGUUGGCCGUGUAAUGAAGCAACCUCCUCCACAUGACACACACACUCAUACACACACACACACACACACACACCUGCCAGACUAGUGGAUGCCAGCAUGUUUUAACCCUGGGGCUCUGCUGGCGAGUAGACAGAACAGAAGGAGAGGGAGAGAGAGUGAUGGAGCAAAGCAAGCGAACGGGAGAGGGAAGCCAAUUCAGGUAGAGUGAGGAAAAGAACAAGAGGGCAAGAAACACAUGGCAAACCGAAAGAGAUGAUCGUGCAAGGUCCUCAUCCAGGAUACCAGCUGCGACCCCUGCAGCCCUACCUCCUCUCCUCUUUGCCAGGCUUUGGCUCUGUUUUUCUAAUGAGAGAUGGAAGGGCAGGAAGCGAUGAGGCAUGGCUGAAAAGGGAGAGGAGGCAAAUAAAUCAGAGAUCACAUUUCAAUUUGGGGACACUGGAUGCUUCUGUGACAAUAUCUGAACACUGGAUGGACCAAGCAGUACUGCAGUUGGAAUACCUGCUUUUUUUUUAGAUUUUCAAUGGAUUUAUUCAUCCUUUUAGGACUCAUAUAUUUUAAAUGUAUUGUAAAUAUUGUUAUUAAAUAGAAAGAAAAAUCUUCCACUUGGUCUCAGCUGCCCAGAGGGGCGAACUGUGUGUGAUUGACACCAGCUGACUGUCUGCCAGACUGUCAGUGUUGCAUUGUAGAAAGUCUGACUCACUGGAUGAAGACUGUUGGUAUAAGCCUGCCAAUGGGCCACAGUUUCAGUUGGCAUUCCCCUUCUGCUAUCAGUGUGUUACCGUGCUACCUGUCUCUAUGGGGAGAUGACAACAACCUCCAAGCUAUCAACCCUGAAGUUACCCUAACUUCAAGCUGGUCACUAAGGGUAAAAACCCUAGCAAGCAAGAUGCUAUUACCUCUUUUUUUUUUCUUUUAGUCAUGUUGAUGCUAGAGCCGACCUCCUCACAUGCAAAACAAAUGUGUUCAUAAAUAAAUGUAUGUUUACCAAAAAUUUUGUUUUUGCGAGUUUACUGAAGCAGUAACAGCUGGAGGCUGCACUUGCAGGCAGUGGCAUCUAACUUUCUCAAAGAUGUUGGCAUUAACAUGUUUUAGCUUUUGAACAAUAGCUUAAUACCACAGAAUAAUUGUUCACUGACAGUACAAUGUUGCAGAAACUAUAUUUGACCUUCAAAACCAAGAAACUACGCAGCCCUAAGGACAAUCCACUCCUACUUCUCAAAAAUAAGCUAAGACUGGACCAGACCAGACAGACAUCUUUAACUGAAGAAAGGGGUCUGAAGCUAGUUUUUGAUUCUGAGCUGCCACUUUCAUAAACUAGUUUGAUGAAAUUUGGGAACUGACAGAUGAGAGGAAGGUACAAAAAUUAGACUAAUACUGGGAGAUAGGGAGGGGAUGACUGACUGUUGGCUAGCCAGAAUGAAAAGACUAAGAGAUGUGCAGCUAAACUAAACAGCCACACAUAUGCCAGGUGCAUUGAAGUGUCCAAAAUGCACACUAUCAAAGUAAGCAAGCAAACUCACCCUGCACCCAAAAUGUUGUAGCUUUAACAACACAGCCAGAGGUGCAGAUGCUGUCCCUACUGGAGCCACCCUCACUGAAAAUAGGCCCCUAUGGAAUUUAUUUGUAUAAAAG
rnacentral:lncRNA from 1 species